rnacentral:rRNA from 1 species
UGACGGGGGCCCGCACAAGCGGUGGAGCAUGUGGUUUAAUUCGAUGGUACGCGAGGAACCUUACCAGGGCUUGACAUGUGCCGGAAGCGCACCGAAAGGUGCGUGCCGCUUGCGGCCGGCGCACAGGUGCUGCAUGGCUGUCGUCAGCUCGUGCUGUGAAGUGUUGGGUUAAGUCCCGCAACGAGCCGCAACCCCUGCUGCCUGUUGCCACCACGAGAGGUGGGGACUCAGGCGGGACCGCCGGUGACAAACCGGAGGAAGGUGGGGACGACGUCAAGUCAUCAUGGCCCUUAUGUCCUGGGCUACACACGUGCUACAAUGGCCGGUACAGAGCGCAGCGAGGCCGCGAGGCGGAGCGAAUCGCUUAAAGCCGGUCCCAGUACGGAUUGGAGUCUGCAACCCGACUCCAUGAAGUUGGAAUCGCUAGUAAUCGCGCAUCAGCAUGGCGCGGUGAAUACGUUCCCGGGCCUU